GACGAACGCUGGUGGCGUGCUUAACACAUGCAAGUCGAACGAUGAAGGAGAGCUUGCUCUCCGGAUUAGUGGCGAACGGGUGAGUAACACGUGACUAACCUGCCCCUUUCUCUGGGAUAACGCUCCGAAAGGAGUGCUAAUACCGGAUACGAACUCUGAACACAUGUUCGGAGUUGGAAAGUUUUUCGGAAAGGGAUGGAGUCGCGGCCUAUCAGCUUGUUGGUGAGGUAACGGCUCACCAAGGCGACGACGGGUAGCCGGCCUGAGAGGGCGACCGGCCACACUGGGACUGAGACACGGCCCAGACUCCUACGGGAGGCGGCAGUGGGGAAUAUUGCACAAUGGGCGAAAGCCUGAUGCAGCGACGCCGCGUGAGGGAUGAAGGUCUUCGGAUUGUAAACCUCUUUCAGUAGGGACGAAGCGAAAGUGACGGUACCUAAAGAAGAAGCACCGGCUAACUACGUGCCAGCAGCCGCGGUAA
rnacentral:rRNA from 1 species